ACUCACAAGUCACAGCUUCAAAUGUUAUCAAUGAGUUCAUCGAAACAUAGAGUUGGGUAUGCUAAAAACAGAGAAAACAGGUUUGACACAGCAAGGGGGAACGCAAACAAUGAAUUAGGCACACCAAGUUUUGAGAUGAAGACGAUUAGUUUGAAAGCGACAGGUUUUAGGCAAGCUGGCUUCCAAGCAGGAGGUCAGCUUGGACACAAUGAACCAUACAGACAGAGUACAUCGACGCAGGUGGUAAACUGCUCAAACCAAACACUUCCAGUUUUCACCACAUGGAUAACAGAGAUACAGGCCAAUUCAUCGCUCGUUCAUUAAGCAGGCACCAUCAUUAACAUCACUUUCCGCCAAACAAGUAGCCCAGGGACGAGCCACCGCCAGGAGCAGCAUGAACCUUGGUUGAAGGACGGUCCUGCGAGGGUUUAAACAGAGUCAUCAGCCAUUUCUCAGCCCACAUGGUAAACAAAAUCAGAGCCCCACAAUGACGUCUGAAUAUCUUUUCAAUACUCAAAAAUCAGAACAUUCAAGUAGGCGAAAUAACAAGAAGCUUUAACCCAUUUGCAUGGCAUUACAUUUCAGGGGGAAAAUGAACCGUUACAUUCUUGUUAUACUAUUGACUGUAGUGACAAAUAACAGAAAACGAGAUAAAUUCUUGGUAGCUUAACAUGAAUCCACAUAGGAAGUAGUUGCAAAAACUGUACUGGGCAGAAGAUUGUUCUAGCAAAAAAAAUUAAUGAUGGAUGCUGACAGUUAUUAAACUUAUGUCAAUGGAAACUUCUGACAUGCCUCAGAUGAAAUUUUAAUGGGGAAUAGCUGGAUCAAAUUAGGUUCAUUACAAGGCCAAAAACCAUACCGUAAGGAAGUUGCCCGUGUUCUGGCCAUCUGCACGGUAAUAGUUGUUCGCCCGGCUACCUGGAAUGCCAGCUGGAAUCUGCUUGGCUACAUCAGCAGCUGCCGGUGCUGGUUUCUCAGCAGGUGCGGGCUUCGCAGCUGGUGCUGCAGCAGGCUUUGCAGGCUCGCCAUCUCCAAACAGGUAACCCAGAGAACUUUGACCACCACCAGCACUCCCGCCACGACUCAUCUUGACUGUAAGAUAAAUACAUAAAUUGCAACAUAUGAGUGGACAAGUUCAGCGUGAUUGUCAGAGUGCAAUACAUUUUGGAAACAGCAAAUGAAAUCAUCAGGGAUAAAAGCUUCCGGAAAAAUUAAGAUCUCAAAGAUAAACUACAUAAGGCAAGUGAAUCUUGAAAUCAUAUGCCCAUACCGGAUAUAUUUCGACCACUAGUUACUACAAAAAUGUUGAUAUAGUGGCAUUUGAAGAAAUAUCAUGGUAAUUUAGGAGAAGACAGAAAAAAAGCAUGCAUGCUAAACCAAGUCUUCAGAUAAGAAUGCUUGGUAAGAUUAAGUAUCAGUGCUGCUUAGACUGAAUGAAGUCCAACAGGGUCAGAUAUUAUCACAAGCCACAAGGUAUGCUGUCAAUUAAAGCAUAUAAUCUACAAGGUUAGGUAAGAUCAAUUUCUGUGAAAAAGAAAGAUAAAACUCUGAAGA
rnacentral:lncRNA from 1 species